rnacentral:rRNA from 1 species
AUUGAACGCUGGCGGCAGGCCUAACACAUGCAAGUCGAACGAGUGGCGGACGGGUGAGUAAUGUCUGGGAAACUGCCCGAUGGAGGGGGAUAACUACUGGAACCGGUAGCUAAUCCCGCAUACCAUCGGAUGUGCCCAGAUGGGAUUAGCUAGUAGGUGGGGUAAUGGCUCACCUAGGAGACGAUCCCUAGAUGGUCUGAGAGGCUGACCGGCCAAACUGGAACGGAGACACGGUCCAGACUCCUACGGGAGGCAGCAGUGGGGAAUAUUGCACAAUGGGCGCAAGCCGGAUGCAGCCAUGCCGCGUGUAUGAAGAAGGCCUUCGGGUUGUAAAGUACUUUCAGCGGGGAGGCGUUACCCGCAGAAGAAGCACCGGCUAACUCCGUGCCAGCAGCCGCGGUAAUUC